CUUUACUCAAAGAGUCAUUUCAUGGGCCAAGUGAAGCACUCGGCGAGCGUUCCAACCUCAAGCUUUCUCCCAUCAUGUUUGUACAAACGUGUUUAUGUGUUAAAGUGUUAGUCCGCUUGGCUGCUGUGGAUAUGUAAGCCUACACAAUCUGUGGAAUGAAAAGUGAAGGGAUACAGACAUUUAGACGACAUUUAGAAAACCAUCGGAGAGCUCGGACUGCUGACA